rnacentral:rRNA from 1 species
AUACGAAGGGGGCUAGCGUUGUGCGGAAUUACUGGGCGUAAAGCGCGCGUAGGCGGACUGAUCAGUUGGGGGUGAAAUCCCAGGGCUUAACCCUGGAACUGCCUCCAAUACUGUCAGUCUUGAGUUCGGGAGAGGUGAGUGGAAUUCCUAGUGUAGAGGUGAAAUUCGUAGAUAUUAGGAAGAACACCAGUGGCGAAGGCGGCUCACUGGCCCGAUACUGACGCUGAGGCGCGAAAGCGUGGGGAGCAAACAGGAUUAGAAACCCCAGUAGUCC